AACACUUUCUAUGAUGGGAUGAUAAACUGUUAUUUUAACCUUUAAUCUUAAAAUUUUCAAGAUACUAAAGAACAUUUGAUAUUAAUAUUUAUGUGAUAUAGCCUGGUUCAUGAAUUCACCUAUGGAAAUGCGUCCCAAAUUUAUUCAUGGUUUAACCAUGCAGUGUAAUAACUAUCCUGUUGCUUCGGGACCAUUCAUUAUGAUGCAUCCGACAUGCCUUUAUUUCUGUCUGUGAAGCAUACUGAAAAAUGAAUUAAGUAUCUUCCAAGGCUUUUGGGUGGUGCAGUUUGACUGGGGCUGUAUGUGAUGAAUGCUUCUUAUCUAUAUAUUUGUUUAUUGGCAUUUUUUUAAUUUGGACUCCAGACACUCAACUCUGAUAAUCAACUUUGUGUGGUAGGCAAAUUUCCACAAAAGCUCGUGCCCACUGUUAAGUUUAUGCAACAACUGUUGCAGGAAGUGGCCUUAGCUUUGCUGCUUGCACGCUGUUGAAAUGAUAGUUUAGUGCUUAUCUAGAAACUUUUUAAGUAUACAGAAAUAAGGCGGUAGCACCAUGUUUCAUGCAUUGCUGAGUAGAAACCCAGUUCCUGAAGACUCCUGAGUUUUUUCUUCUUAACUGGUAUUAUUUUAAUUGUAUUAGGUACUUGAUACGAUUAAAGAUUUAUCCAGAAACAAAUUCUGUCCAACUUUCAACACAAGCAUGGAGUUAAACCCAGACAAAUUAAGAUACUUACAAGCUAACGACCAGACAAAUUAAAAUACUACCUGAGCUGUCAAUGAAAGCGGGCUGUGUGUGAUCAGACUCUACACUAGCACGCAGACAGAAAGUUAAUGGGCGAUGGAGCCAUCAGCCAACAGCUUCGACACAGCAACAACAGGUCACCGGAAAACAGCCCCUUCUUUUGUCGGCCAUAUUAUUAAUGAUAAUAACUCCGGUGAAGAUACAGAUGAAUGUGAAAUUAACAGCCUGUUUGGAGUAAGUAUAACUUUAGAUGAAUGUAAUAAAAGAUAAGGCUUGCCUUUUAAUUUUGCCCAAUCUUUAGCUUGUGGUAUGUACGCGAUCUGUUCACCUGUCAGUGGUAGAGAGAUUAAUGUGGCAAAAGGCGAAAUCGCUCGCCCCAGUGCCCCCGCCGCACCCGACCCAAGACCAUCACGAGAGAGGUAAAUCGUGGUAGAGAGAUUUAGAAGAUAGGUAUAGAGGGCUCUAAUGCAUUUUUGUCUUGUCAUUCUCUUUUGAUUUUUCAUCCAUAUAAUUCCAGUUCGUGAUCAAUAAGUCAAAUCUAAGUCAAAUCGUGCGUUGAAUGAUUAAAGAAGAAAUUUUCAUUUGAAAAGUUAAAAGACCAAUCCCAACCUUCAAUCCUUUUUGUUUACCAAUUGAUGCAGUUGUACUUAACUUUUAAAUUUCUUAAAUGAUACACUUUCUGAUUUCUUAAAUGAUACACUUUCGCAUUUUAUCUCUCCAGUAAAAGAAUCA